rnacentral:rRNA from 1 species
AUCCUGGCUCAGGAUGAACGCUAGCGAUAGGCUUAACACAUGCAAGUCGAGGGGCAGCACGGUGUAGCAAUACACUGGUGGCGACCGGCGUACGGGUGCGUAACACGUAUGCAACCUACCCGCUAGUUGGGGGAUAACCCGGCGAAAGUCGGACUAAUAUCCCAUAUUAUUCUUACCGGGCAUCCGGUGAGCCUGAAAGAUUUAUCGAUUGCGGAUGGGCAUGCGGAUGAUUAGCUAGUAGGUGGGGUAACGGCUCACCUAGGCGACGAUCAUUAGGGGUUCUGAGAGGAAGGUCCCCCACACUGGAACUGAGACACGGUCCAGACUCCUACGGGAGGCAGCAGUGAGGAAUAUUGGUCAAUGGGCGCUAGCCUGAACCAGCCAAGUCGCGUGAAGGAUGACAAGAUCUAUGGUUUGUAAACUUCUUUUGCAGGGGAGUAAAGUGCGACACGUGUGUUGUAUUGCAAGUACCCUGCGAAUAAGCAUCGGCUAACUCCGUGCCAGCCGCUGC